rnacentral:rRNA from 1 species
CCUACGGGUGGCAGCAGUGAGGAAUAUUGGUCAAUGGGCGCAAGCCUGAACCAGCCAUGCCGCGUGCAGGAAGAAGGUCCUAUGGAUUGUAAACUGCUUUUAUUUGGGAAUAAACCUCUUUACGUGUAGAGAGCUGAAGGUACCAAAUGAAUAAGCACCGGCUAACUCCGUGCCAGCAGCCGCGGUAAUACGGAGGGUGCAAGCGUUAUCCGGAAUCAUUGGGUUUAAAGGGUCCGCAGGCGGGUCUAUAAGUCAGUGGUGAAAGCCUACAGCUCAACUGUAGAACUGCCAUUGAUACUGUAGAUCUUGAAUGUGGUCGGAGUGGGCGGAAUGUGACAUGUAGCGGUGAAAUGCUUAGAUAUGUCACAGAACACCGAUAGCGAAGGCAGCUCACUAGGCCAUAAUUGACGCUCAUGGACGAAAGCGUGGGGAGCAAACAGGAUUAGAUACCCCAGUAGUC